UACAGAGGUCCCAAGCGUUGUUCGGAUUCACUGGGCGUAAAGGGUGCGUAGGUGGUGAGGUAAGUCGGAUGUGAAAUCUCCGGGCUCAACCCGGAAAUGGCAUUGGAAACUACCUUGCUGGAGGAUUUGAGGGGGGAUUGGAAUACUUGGUGUAGCAGUGAAAUGCGUAGAUAUCAUGAGGAAGACCAGUGGCGAAGGCGGAUCUCUGGACAGUUCCUGACACUGAGGCACGAAGGCCAGGGGAGCAAACGGG
rnacentral:rRNA from 1 species